CCUACGGGGGGCUGCAGUGGGGAAUAUUGGGCAAUGGGGGCAACCCUGAUCCAGCCAUGCCGCGUGUGUGAAGAAGGCCCUCGGGUUGUAAAGCACUUUCAGUGAGGAAGAACGCCUGGUGGUUAAUACCCAUCAGGAAAGACAUCACUCACAGAAGAAGCACCGGCUAACUCCGUGCCAGCAGCCGCGGUAAUACGGAGGGUGCGAGCGUUAAUCGGAAUUACUGGGCGUAAAGCGCGCGUAGGUGGCUUGAUAAGCCGGUUGUGAAAGCCCCGGGCUCAACCUGGGAACGGCAUCCGGAACUGUCAAGCUAGAGUGCAGGAGAGGAAGGUAGAAUUCCCGGUGUAGCGGUGAAAUGCGUAGAGAUCGGGAGGAAUACCAGUGGCGAAGGCGGCCUUCUGGACUGACACUGACACUGAGGUGCGAAAGCGUGGGUAGCAAACAGGAUUAGAUACCCGUGUAGUC
rnacentral:rRNA from 1 species